UACGGAGGGGGCAAGCGUUAUUCGGAUUCACUGGGUUUAAAGGGUGUGUAGGCGGGCUAUUAAGUCAGUGGUGAAAUCUCCGGGCUCAACCCGGAAACUGCCAUUGAUACUAUUAGUCUUGAAUAUCGUUGAGGUAGGCGGAAUAUAUCAUGUAGCGGUGAAAUGCAUAGAUAUGAUAUAGAACACCGAUUGCGAAGGCAGCUUACUAAACGAUUAUUGACGCUGAGGCACGAAAGCGUGGGGAUCAAACAGG
rnacentral:rRNA from 1 species